UUUCCGUAGGUGAACCUGCGGAAGGAUCAUUACGUAUUGGUAGGCCGGUCUGACCGGUUCUAUUCAACCCUGUUUUUUGCGCACCCUUUGUUUCCUCGGCAGGCUUGCCUGCCAGUAGGACCUUUUUUUCAACUCUUUGUGUCAAAGCAAUCAGCGUCAAACAAACAAAACAAUGGUAACAACUUUCAACAACGGAUCUCUUGGUUCUGGCAUCGAUGAAGAACGCAGC
rnacentral:misc_RNA from 1 species